UACGGAGGAUGCAAGCGUUAUCCGGAAUUAUUGGGCGUAAAGCGCGUGUAGGCGGCUUUGCAAGUCGGGUGUGAAAGCCCUCAGCUCAACUGAGGAAGUGCGCCCGAAACUGCAGAGCUUGAGUGCCGGAGAGGGUGGCGGAAUUCCCCAAGUAGAGGUGAAAUUCGUAGAUAUGGGGAGGAACACCGGUGGCGAAGGCGGCCACCUGGACGGUAACUGACGCUGAGACGCGAAAGCGUGGGGAGCAAACAGG
rnacentral:rRNA from 1 species